AGCUAAUAGAUACCCGGGUAGUCCACGCCGUAAACUAUGGAUGCUAGCUGUUAGAGGUAUCGACCCCUCUAGUAGCGAAAGCUAACGCGUUAAGCAUCCCGCCUGUGGAGUACGGUCGCAAGACUAAAACAUAAAGGAAUUGACGGGGACCCGCACAAGCGGUGGAGCGUGUUGUUUAAUUCGAUGGUAAGCGAAGAACCUUACCCAGGCUUGACAUCCUUGGAAUUUUGGCGAAAGCCGAGAGUGCCUUCGGGAACCAAGUGACAGGUGUUGCAUGGCCGUCGUCAGCUCGUGUCGUGAGAUGUUUGGUUAAGUCCAUCAACGAGCGCAACCCUUAUAGUUAGUUGAAUUUUUCUAGCUAGACUGCCCUGGCAACAGGGAGGAAGGAGGGGAUGAUGUCAGGUCAGUAUUACCCUUACGUCUGGGGCUACAAACACGCUACAAUGGCCGGUACAAAGGGCAGCCAAGUCGCGAGACGGAGCAAAUCCCAUCAAAGCCGGUCUAAGUUCGGAUAGCAGGCUGAAACUCGCCUGCUUGAAGCUGGAA
rnacentral:rRNA from 1 species